rnacentral:rRNA from 1 species
AUACAUGCAGUCGAGCGAACAGACGAGGAGCUUGCUCCUCUGACGUUAGCGGCGGACGGGUGAGUAACACGUGGAUAACCUACCUAUAAGACUGGGAUAACUUCGGGAAACCGGAGCUAAUACCGGAUAAUAUAUUGAACCGCAUGGUUCAAUAGUGAAAGACGGUUUUGCUGUCACUUAUAGAUGGAUCCGCGCCGCAUUAGCUAGUUGGUAAGGUAACGGCUUACCAAGGCAACGAUGCGUAGCCGACCUGAGAGGGUGAUCGGCCACACUGGAACUGAGACACGGUCCAGACUCCUACGGGAGGCAGCAGUAGGGAAUCUUCCGCAAUGGGCGAAAGCCUGACGGAGCAACGCCGCGUGAGUGAUGAAGGUCUUCGGAUCGUAAAACUCUGUUAUUAGGGAAGAACAAAUGUGUAAGUAACUAUGCACGUCUUGACGGUACCUAAUCAGAAAGCCACGGCUAACUACGUGCCAGCAGCCGCGGUAAUACGUAGGUGGCAAGCGUUAUCCGGAAUUAUUGGGCGUAAAGCGCGCGUAGGCGGUUUUUUAAGUCUGAUGUGAAAGCCCACGGCUCAACCGUGGAGGGUCAUUGGAAACUGGAAAACUUGAGUGCAGAAGAGGAAAGUGGAAUUCCAUG